rfam:Clostridium sp. CAG:533 genomic scaffold, scf44
UAUUUUAGGCAAACGCUGCAUUUAAUAAUGUAGAGGAAAGUCCAUGCUCACAAAGUCUGAGAUGACUUUAAUGUUCACGCUAAGGGAAAAAAUAACCUUAGGUAGCUUAUGCUAACGGCUUCGAAAUAGUCUAAGGGUAACUAUGACUAGAUUAGAUAUAAAAGUGCCAAAGAGACGAGUCUAUUUGGAAACGAGUAGAGUGGAACGUGGUAAACCCCGUGAGUGAGAAACCCAAAUUUUGGUAGGGGAGCUUUCUAUAGUGAAAUGAAACGAUUAGAGGGUGCUUAGGCAAGAUAAAUGUUUGCCACCUUUUUUAAGGUACAGAACAUGGCUUAUUAAA